rnacentral:tRNA from 1 species
GGCACGGUGGUGCAGUGGGUAGCACUGUCGCCUCACAGCAAGGUCAUGGGUUUGAAUCCGGCCUGGGCCU